rnacentral:rRNA from 1 species
GUCUGCUUGUUACUAAAGCAGUCUGGCCUGCCCACUGAUAUUUAUUUAAAGGCCGCGGUAUUCUGACCGUGCGAAGGUAGCAUAAUAAUUAGUCUUUUAAUUGAAGACUGGAAUGAAAGGUCGGACAAAAAGCUAUCUGUCUCAGCUUUUAUUUUUGAAAUUUACUUUUAAGUGAAAAGGCUUAAAUAAACCUGGAGGACGACAAGACCCUAUAAAACUUUAUAUCCAUAUAGAUAUACGUCUAACUGUUUGUGAAACCCCGCCUAGCUAUAUGAGUAUUACGUUGGGGAGACGAAAGUAUAACCAGUAACUGCUUUUUUUUACCUACAGUAAUUUCUGAACCCAGUGACCCUUUUUUCAGAUCUAAAGAAAAAGUUACUUUAGGGAUAACAGCGUAAUUUUUUUUAAGAGUUCUUAUCGACAAAAAAGUUUGCGACCUCGAUGUUGAAUUAAAAUUUCCUUAUAGUGCAGCAAUUAUAAAGGUAGGUCUGUUCGACCUUUAAAAUUUUACAUGAUUUGAGUUCAAACCGGCGUGAG